rnacentral:rRNA from 1 species
AGUCGGGACCUAAGGCGAGGCCGACAGGCGUAGUCGAUGGACACCGGGUUGAUAUUCCCGUACCGGCGAAGUGGCGCCCAUGACGAGCCCGGUGAUGCUAACCGCCCGAAACACUGGUGACCAAUCCCUUCGGGGUGCGGCGCUGGUGCGGAGCGCGGGACCCGAUCCGGUAGUAGUCAAGCGAUGGGGUGACACAGGAAGGUAGCCCAACCACGCCGAUGGUAGAGCGUGGGUAAGCAUGUAGGACGUGGCCUAGGCAAAUCCGGGUCGCAGCCCUUUGGUGGGUGAGUCUGAGAUGUGAUGCCGACCCCUGAUGGGGGAAGUGGGUGAUCCUAUGCUGUCGAGAAAAACCUCUAGCGAGCCACGAGCCGCCCGUACCCCAAACCGACUCAGGUGAUCAGGUAGAGAAUACCAAGGCGAUCGAGACAACCAUGGUUAAGGAACUCGGCAAAAUGCCCCCGUAACUUCGGGA